CGCUGUCGUCCUUGCGCAAGGGAAGCAGCGAAGCUGCAGGGGUAGAAUCCGGCGGGAGUCGCUCCGAGUCUCCGACUCAGUGCUGAGUUCGCUCGACUCGCCUCUGCCUUCCAGCCUACACCCCACUCUCUCUCUCUCUAUCUCUCUUCCUCUCUCGUGCCUUCUCGUCUCGGCAAAACCUCGCGUCGAACCAGGGCUCGAGUCCCGCCAUUCCACCGCCGCAGGCCGUCGCCGUCGCCGUCGCCGUCGCUCCCUGGGCCCUUUCCCUCCUCCUCGUUCGCCUGCCUGAAUCGUUGCCGCCGCCGCUUCGCCGAUCUCUCCACGUUCCUUCCUUCGCCAGAACGUCGCGGACUGGUCGAGGAGCUCAGCCAUGGUGAGUAGCUAGGGUUCUAAAGUCCGUUCUUUUUGGUCGUUUCGCGAAUGGGUUGCGAUGCCUGCAGGUUCUUGUGCUCUCCGCCUGUGUCCGGAGACGGUGGGGUUAACUGAAUUGGGUCGCAAUUUUUUUUUUUUUUUUUAGUGCGAAAUUGCGUUCCUGAUUAUUCAGCUAUUGUUGGCCGAGGCGGAAAAAAAUUGUUUUUUUUAAGCUGUGGGUUGCUGACAUUGUGGUGUAUUAUUGUGCUGAUGGAAAUCUACGGACUGUUUUUGGGGAUUGCAGUCGGAUAUCAGGAAGUGGUUUAUGAAGUCGCAUGACAAAGGCAAUGGCAAUGCAAAGCUUGGGAAACCCGGGUCGAGCGAUUCGGGAAAGACCCCUCCGGCAAAGUCUCAGCCUGAUAAGCCUGUGAGUGCAUUCCUUGUUAUCUGUUUGCUGUUGAUCAGUAACUGGUGUGUCUCUCCUUGGUGUUUUGAUUUGUGUACUUAAAUUAGCAGUUGAAUAUUGGGGGAAGAAAGAAAAGGAAAAGGGCAGAUCGAAUGAGUUGGUGUUUUUCUUUGGAUGCGUAUGUAUCCUCGAAUUGCAGAGGUCAUAAGCAUUCAAUGGUGUCAGACAGGAUGGUUAGUUUAAUUUUAACUCUGAGAGGAAAAAUACCAAGCUUUCUUCUCUAAUGUUCAAUUCCCUAUCGUGGAAAGGCAGCCUGAUCAGAUAAUUAAGCAUAGCCGUCUUUUUUCUUUUCCCCAGGUUUCUCAUUAUGCCAUUCUUUUUGUCUCUUCUUUGGGUUGUUUGAGGGAUUACUGCAAAACAAUCUGAAUUUUGGUUGAAAAAUACUUCUCAAUGAUCAGGUUGUUUCUUCGACAAAAUGAAUUCUCAUGAGGAAAACAAGGAAGCAUGCAUUGAUUGAGUGAAAAUCCUAAAGCAGGAACUUAGUUGGCAAUUGAUAUAUUUACUUGCUUAUUAAAAAUUCAGGUGCAUCCGGUUCAGGAGAAUUCAGCUAGGAGGAAAACCAGCAAGUAUUUUCCUGCAGAGAAGCAGAAGCCGAAAGAUGAAAUAGAAUCAGAAGAGGUUUCAACCAAAAGAAAACCUCAAAAGGAUACCGAAGGAUCUCUGAAACCGCCUCCUCGUAAAAAAAUGCACACAGUUGAGGAUGACGAUGACGACGACGAUGACUUUGUCUUGCCCACUCCUAAUAAACCAUCUGAUGUCACACCUAGCAAGAAACUGAAGUCUGGUUCUGGUAGGGGAGUUCCAAAGAAACCAGUAGAUAUUGAAGAGAGCGACGAUGAUGAUCAUAAGUGUGCUAAAUCUCCCCCUAAGUCUGGUGGAAGGGGUCGUGGUGGUAGAGGUGCAUCUGCCGCUCCAGCUGGUGGAAGAGGCAGGGGUGGUGGUGGACGAGGUGGAUUUAUGAAUUUUGGAGAGAGGAAAGAUCCUCCUCAUAAGGGACAGAAGGUAAAAUAUGCUCAUUAUCCUCAAUAUCUUCUUAUUUUUUUGGAAUACAAUGCUUUCUUGUAAUUAAUUAUAUUGUUUACUUUUAAUUCAUUAUGUGCCAGGAAGUCCCUGAAGGUGCUCCAGAUUGUUUAGCAGGUUUAACUUUUGUAAUCAGCGGAACACUUGAUAGGUACUUCCAAUCAUUUCCCCCUUUCUCUAAGUUAUAAAUUCUGUUUCCAAAUACCCAGUUGUAUAUUUCUGAUUAUCUUAACAUGUGAGGAUGUCUCUUUCUUGGUUGCUUAUGCUUUCAAUGUUUUAUGUAUCCAUAGAUUAAUUAGUGGCACAUUUACAAUUUUUCAGUUUGGAGAGAGAAGAAGCAGAGGAUCUAAUUAAACGCCAUGGUGGUCGUGUUACCGGAUCAGUCAGCAAGAAGACGGUCAUCUCAUAUUCCUUUCAUGAUUUAGUAUUAAGAGUGUUAUUUGAAUCUGAGUUACUUACUUUCCUAAUUCUGUCGCCAGAAUUACCUGUUAUGUGAUGAAGAUAUCGAAGGACGGAAAUCCGCAAAGGCGAAAGAGCUCGGGUACUUUCUCUGGAUAUCAGUCUUUAUUAAAGUAUUAAAACAGUUAGUUUGCAGUGCUCAUUUGUGGUUUUCAUUUCUAUGAUUCAGAACAACUUUUCUCACGGAGGAUGGUUUGUUUGAUCUGAUCCGGUCAUCAAUUAAUACAAAAACACCUGUUCAAGAGAAGUCCAGUCGUACAGAGAAAGCUGUGCCAUCUUUGACUAAGAAAACUCCACCAAAAAUUGACCCGAAAAGUAUGCCUUAAUAGAUCUUUGUUCCUUAUUGGUCAUCCUUCUAUGCAAUAUUGUGUGUUAUGCUGUUUUUACAUCACUUCAUUUCUCCAGACAAUAUUUGUGCUCAUUCAAGUCCUUUUCUGCUUAAAUGAAUCUCAAAAAAGUCUUCAGGUCAUGGCAUGGCAAGCAAAGGAAAUACAGAAUUAUAAAUAUCCUUGGUUGAGGAGUUUAGGAAAAAACAACGAAUUUGCAUGCUCUAAACCCUGGGAUAAUGCAUGAGUUUCAGAUUAAUUUCGGUAAACAACAUGCCACAAGAACAUCAUGUAUGAGAAGAGUUGUUGGAUAACACGCCUGGCUUGAAAUGCCACUGGAACUAUUCAAGUAAAUUUAGUUUUGGGACACGCAAAAACAGUCUUAGACUGUUGAGGCUUUUUGCCUGGAAUGGAGAAUAUCUGACGUUGCAUUUGUUUUUCCACUUUGGGUAAUUCUGGCUUCCACUACUGAUGAGCAUAAACCAAGGUCAUGUUUUGUUGGCAAGAGCAGUACUAACUAAGAGUACGAUUAUUAGGAGCUGUUUUUGGUUGCUGUUUGACAUCAUGCUUAAUUGAUUAAAAGGAAUGCUGCAAUACCUUGAAAUUCACAGGGUACAAAACUAAAUUACUUAAGAUCUUAUCAUAUUUUUAAAGAUGUACGGGUUGAUGAAAUGACAAUUGGGCCAAUCAUGAGCUGCAGAAUGUGUGUAUUUUGUUUGAAAACAGUAUUUGGCGCCAUAACUUUUUUGCACCACAUGCGACAAAAUGUUGGUACUCAUAAUUGCAGAAACUUUCUUGUUAAGCAGGUUUUUAGCUUGCAAAAUCAGCUCAUUCCGGUCUGUCUUUUUUUUUUUUUUUUAAUUCGUCUGUUUCCAGUCCUGCCAGUCAUUUUGUAUGGUAUAAUUCACUGGAGAGCCUUUCUUACAAGCCUUUGUUGGCAACAGGUGUAUCCCCUCAAGGUUUGGCAUCAGACUCCCGUGCUGCUUUGAAGAAACAUCAAAUUACUAAACCGUCUUCUUUGACAUGGACUGAAAAGUAUAGGCCAAAAGUUCCAAAUGACAUCAUUGGAAAUCAGUCACUGGUGCAUCAUCUUUCCUUUUUGUACUCUACUGUGGUCACAUUAAAAUAAUUAAAUAUCUGCACAUCUUUAUGGUUAAAGUUCGAAUGAUGACAGGUAACUCAGCUCCAUAACUGGUUGGCACAUUGGAAUGAACAGUUUCUUGAUACUGGAAAGAAAAGUAAGGGGAAAAAACAAACUGAUCCUAGCGCUAAGAAAGCUGUUCUGUUAAGUGGACCUCCUGGUAUUGGCAAAACUACGUCAGCAAAAGUGGUUUGCAAGAUGCUAGGCUUUCAGGCGGUUGAGGUAAUGUGUUAUUGAUUUCUAAAGUCAACCUCUUGCCCUCCAUCUCUUCCUUUUACUUACCCUUUUUGUCUUUUUAUCCAAUUUUCAGGUGAAUGCUAGUGAUAGUCGUGGGAAGGCUGACAGCAAGAUCUCUAAAGGGAUAGGAGGCAGCAAUGCCAAUUCCAUUAAGGAACUCGUGAGCAAUGAAUCCCUAAGUGUCAACAUGGAUUGGUUAGUCACGAAUUCUUUGUUCUUCUGUGCGUGUGGCAGAAAGUAGCGAGAAAUGUCAAAGGUUUGUUUUUUGGUUGCAGGUCUAAACAUCCCAAAUCCGUCCUUAUAAUGGAUGAGGUCGAUGGAAUGUCUGCUGGAGAUAGAGGAGGAGUUGCAGAUCUUAUUGCCAGCAUAAAGAUCUCCAAAAUUCCAAUUAUUUGCAUCUGUAAUGAUCGCUACAGUCAGAAAUUGAAAAGUCUUGUGAACUACUGCUUGCUUCUGAACUUUCGGAAACCUACAAAGCAACAGGUCCUCCCAUUCUUUUAAUUAAGAGAUUUAUCAUACAUCUAUUUCUUUAGAAUCUGAUUUGCACUAUCAUGUUCAAUGCACUUAACUUGGUGAGCUUAUUUGACCAUCUCUCUUUUGAACUACCAUAUGCUUCUGAACGUUGCAAACCUACAAAGCAACUGGUUCUCCUGUUCCCCUUUGGUGAAUGAAAUUAUCAUAGAGUUAGUCAUAUCAUUUUCGUAGGAUAUUAUUGAUGUUAUGAUGUUCAAUGCAAUUAGUUUGAUAAGCCCACUUGGCCAUCUCAAUAACUUUCAUGCAUUUGAUCUAAUUCUAAUAUUUUAGUUCAUUUGAAUUUGUGUGGAGGUUUCAGUAUGUAUCUAAGCUAUCCCUAAUAGCUAGAAUUGGUGCUCUAUUUUUGAAAUGAAGAACGUAAGCUAUUUAACUUGGCUAGUAGUCUCAUAAUAUUUUUUGGCUGGUAAAUGUAUUCUUGCUGACCGGUGAGUGUUUGGUGCCUGCUGCUCCUUUGGGAUUAAGUUUCCUAAACUCAAGAAAAAAGUCUCUUCAAGUGAACGAGAACUUAAAAUUUGUCUUGGCCUUGAUAGGCACGCAAUCUAAAUAAAAUGAAAUAUAAUUGUUGCAUUUUUUAACUUUAAGGUGACUUGUUGUAUUGGGUAUUUUGGUGAAUUUUUUCUUCUUUUCUGUUACUAUUGCUUUUCCCUCGCAGACACUGUUGGCAACCUUGCAACACAAUGUUUGUAUCCUAUGUGACGAUCUUAGCUCUUUGUUAUGAUUUAAUCUUUGUCAGGAAGGGCCUAUUUAGUCCAAAUUGCUAUGAGUUUCUAAUGCAUUUUCAUUCUUUAUAUUUUCAUCUGAUAGAUGGCAAAGAGGUUAAUGCAUAUAGCUCAAGCAGAAGGCCUUCAAGUUAAAGAGGUAUUUUCAGGGAUACAAGAUUCUUGAACUUAGAUGUCCCUUGCAAGAGAAUGCGUGUGGAAAUUGUGAAUGGUUUUUACUGCAUGGACUUAGGGGAGCAGUUUUUUUCUUUCCUAUCAUGAGAAAUUGGAAGCUUAUUUGAAAUACCACAAUUGGCAUGUGCAAUUGGCAGGAUGUCAUAUUUCCACUGUGCCGAUAUAAAAAACAAUAGUAAAAUGGUUGUGUACUUUUGACUCUUGAGCAAUUUUAUCAGGUUUUUUCUGCAAAGAGUUCUCUCCCUGACUUAAUGGAUUGACUCUGACCUUUCGAUUGAUUCAGAUUGCUCUUGAGGAACUUGCUGAAAGAGUUAAUGGAGAUAUCCGUUUGGCACUCAAUCAAUUGCAGUAUAUGAGUCUCUCGAUGUCAGCGAUCAACUAUGAUGAUGUGAAACAGCGCCUUCUUAGCGGUGCAAAAGAUGAAGAUAUAUCGCCCUUCACAGCUGUCGAUAAGUAUGACUUCACCAGUUUCUCACCUCUUUAUUAUUUUUCUUUCUUGGUGACAACUUUCCUAGCAUGGUAGCAGUGUUAUUUAUGUGUACUUACGUGAUCCUAGGUUGUUUGGCUUCAAUGGGGGCAAAUUAAGAAUGGAUGAGCGGAUUGACCUCAGCAUGAGUGAUCCUGAUUUGGUCCCUCUUCUUAUACAGGUUCCUUGCUUUAUUUAUUUGUAUUUUUUUUUUGGGGGGGGGGGGGGGGGGGGGGAUAACUUUUGCACUGCCAAAAGAAUUUUCACCUUGCAGAGUGACACCAAAGAAAAAACUUUAGGUAUAUUUAAUUUGAAGAAAGAUGAUCUAUGAAUUUCACCUACUCUCUUUGAACCUUGUCUUAGGCAGUUGAAAACUUUGUUGUUGCUAUUUGUCAUAUCUACUGAUUUUGGGUGUAGCUUCACGGUAAAAAUUUGGUUCUGGUAUCAUAGUGUUGUAGUUCAUCGAUAGGGACCUCUCUUCUGAAAUUCCUUAAUUUUUCUAGAAAGCUACCUAAUGAUUUGGACUGGGCACUCUGCAUUUCUCACUUAGGUUUUCAAUUAAUACUAUAUUAGAUAACUAAAAGAGCCUGACACAAGCAUGCGUGGGGCCCAUGUGGCCUGGUAUGUUUUUGACAUCUUUUUAAUAAGCUUAACAUUUCUGAUAUCUUUAGACUCUGGCAUUAUUUAUGUUCUGUGUCCUGCAUCAAUAACAAUCUGUACAGCACGGUUUAUGCCUUGACAGGGACUAACACAUUUAUUACGUCACACACUUAAUAGGUAUUGUGCGUUUUUUAUGGAAGCAUUUUGUUUCUGGACAAACAAAAAGCCUACUUAGUAUACCACAUUCAGGUUGGUCUUGGUAUGAAAGGGCGGAACAUUUUGGAAUGAUCAAACAAAUGGAAUUAAAUGGGCAUGAGCAUGCCAAAUUUUGGCUGCUCUGCUCAAAUGUUGUUGAGUUAUCUCUUUUCUCCGUGUUGGGUCAUGCGAGUUACCUGAUGAAUAGGGAAAAAGGGAAGUUUCAGAAGAACGCAGUUUCUACAUUUUUGCACUAUCAAUAUAAGUCAAGUGUCAUGGUAAUUACCUGGCUCGAUUGGCGCAAAGUUGAAAAAAGGAAAUCUUUUUCUGCAAAUUAAUGACAGGAUAACAACCCCUAUGCCAAAUUAACUACAAGAUAAGGAGUCCACUAGGUAAGGAAAUUGCGUUGGCAUGAAGACUUUUCUCCACAUAUACCAAACAUUCAAAGUAGAAGGCCAAGGAUACCUAAUUUUCAUAUAAUUUGCUAAUUUUCUAAAGAUUUUGCUAUUUCUUUCCCUCCAAAUUAGCCAAAAAUUUGCUAUAAAAAUCACCUGAAUCUUCUUCCUCUUCUUUUGAUAAUGCAUAUGCCCAAUGACACUCUUAGCUCAUCUUGUAUUUACUUCAAACUUACCCAUUGAAUACCCACCAUCAAGAUCAAUUCCCAAAGCAUCUUUGACCAACCACAUUUAGCACCAUGGAUUCAACUACCUGUUUGCAAAGGCAACACCAAUUCACCAAUAUCUUGAAUGUUCCGAUUGGUGACCAUCAACUUACCCUUAUGUAUGUUUCGGUGUGGCUGAGAAGUAAGUACAUCGACUUAAAUAGUAGUCGCCAAUAUAAGGUCAUAUUUUUUACAUGAACAUGAAGAUCAAAUAUUAUGAUAUCCUGAAAUUUGGCCCCGUUCGAAAUAUGUAAAAUAGGUAUUCCACCAAUGCAUUGAUAGUUAAUUUACUUUGAAUUGAUCACUCAUGAGUUAACCUAUCAAUUGGGUGAGGCCUUAAAGGAUUAAAAUGUGAAAGACCAGAAAAUUCGAUUAGGGAUGAUCCCUCAAAUAUAAGGAUUUACAAGGGUCAAUACUGCUUUACUAUCCCUAUGUUUAUGUUUGACUGGGUGUUGGUUGAUGUAUUAAAUGCUUUCACUUAUGCUUAAUCGAAAGAUAAAAAAAAUGGGUCAGCGAUGAGUUCUGGGACGUUGCAAUUUAUCGACCGUUGAGGGAUGUUAGCAUGCUCAGGGUUCGGGGCGUGACAAAUAUAGCUUUGAAAAUUCACUCUUUUCAACUGAACAGGUUUCUUUAAUUUUAUUCCCUUGGAUGUGGUGUGUUAAUUCGAGGUAGAUAAGAAAUAGAUAAGUAGUUCCCCAGGUUUAGACCUUACUCUGGAAUUGUAUCUGCCUCAAGUAACCUCCUGUAAAAGCUCGGAUUCUAUUCUGCUCGCACUUGCCCUUGUCUCAUUUUGCCUUAAUGUUCUAUUUUGCUCGUGCUGGGAUGCACAUUUAUGGAAUACUUUUUCUUGAGAAUCUUUAUAUCUUGUAUUCUCAUAUAAGUGGUUAAAUGUGCCUCAGGAAAAUUAUAUGAAUUACAGACCUCUUGCUGGUGGUAAGGAUGAUAAUGGGAUAAAACGCAUGUCCUUAAUUGCCCGGGCUGCUGAAUCUAUUGCCGAUGGGGACAUUAUAAAUGUACAGAUACGAAGAUAUCGCCAAUGGCAGCUCUCUCAAGCUAGUUGCCUUGCUUCUUGUAUAAUCCCGUAUGUUUUCUGUAUAAGCUGGAGUUGGUGUUACAUAUUUCUCAAGAUGUUUUUGUAUGCUCCUUUCAAAUUUCUCAUCAUAUCGCUUUUCAUUCAGUGCUGCGUUGAUGCAUGGGCAAAGGGAGACACUAGAACAGGUACUUUACUCACUGACAAUAUCUUAAUCCUGAUGGGCAAUAUGCCAGCAUAUCAUUUCUAAGAAUAAGUGAUAGCUACUGAUCACAAGAUAUGUGGAUGCCUGUGUGAUUAGCAGUUGCAAAUAUCCGUGUUAUCUCUGCCAAUUUUCGUUUUUGUUUUCUGUCCUAGAAUUGUGAGUUCCAUAGGUGGAUCUCUCUUUUUGUUGUACAAGAAAAUCCUGCUUCCUCACAUACUUUCAGCGAUUUACUUAAGUUGCAUAAAUUUGGAUGUUAAUGUUGCAUUUUCUUCUUGAUGCUUUCAGGGUGAGCGUAAUUUCAACAGAUUCGGUGGCUGGUUAGGAAAGAACUCAACGAUGGGCAAAAAUUUUCGACUUUUGGACGAUCUGCAUGAUCAUAUUCUUGCUUCUCGUGAAUCUAAUUCUGGAAGGUAAUAUUGUUUUACUGGGGAAACUUGUUCUUUUAUUUGUACAAAAUGGUCCAAAAGUGAAGUGAAAUUAUCUUCUUAUCUUUUUUUUUGGUACUUAUGUCAUCUUAAAGUUUUUAUGGGAAUGUACUGGCCGGUUCACCUUAUGUUUUAUGUGGUUAUCAUUUUUUAAUUGUACUGUUCAGGGAAUCUUUGCGAGUUGACUACCUGUCCCUCCUCCUUAAGAGAUUGACUGAUCCUCUUAGAAAGCUGCCUAAGGUUGGUUAGCUGAUUUUUUUUCAAUUUUGUUGCUUUAAUGAGUUUCUGGGAAAAUUAUUGUCGCUAUCAUGUGUUGUUCUGAACAGGAUGAAGCUGUUGCAGAAGUUGUGGAGUUCAUGAAUUCAUAUUCAAUCAGUCAGGAAGACUUUGAUACUAUGGUGGAGCUAUCAAAAUCUAAGGUACUCAUUCCUGCUCUCUUGUCGGCUUAUGCUUCUAAGCUUUGCUCAUGCAUUUCUGUGCCUCUUUCCUUCAGGGGCAUCCAAAUCCCUUAGAUGGCAUUCCACCAGCUGUCAAAUCUGCCCUGACCAGGUCGUAUAAUGAAAGCAGCAGGUCCAGGAUGGUACGAGCUGCAGAUUUAGUUACACUACCAGGAGUAAAGAAAGCGCCUAAAAAGAGGAUUGCAGCUAUUUUAGAACCGUCUGAUGAUGGAUUGGGAGAGCAAAAUGGUGAUGCCUUGGCAGAAAGUGAAGAGGAGAACUCUUCUGAAACGGAAGACCAAGGUAAAUCUAAAGACAUAAUUUUUUGUUGGCCUUGCUACGUAUAAAGAGGCCAAAGUCUGCUUUUUACAUUUUUUUUCAUGUUGAUGAAUGGGUACUGUUUUACAUGUUGAAUAAUGCCCCAGGUCACAAUUUCUUCGAGUAGAAAUUUCUUUUGAAAUCUUGGCUUCAAGAAAAUCUUUGAAUUUGUGGAGAUGGUUAGAGUUUGGGAUUCCUUAUUGUAGAAAAGAGUGGUUUCCAUUGACGUACGGGGAUAUUGGGUUUAGGUUCAACACCACACCUUUGUGUUGCAUUUCAUGCUGAAUCAAGGGGAUACUUUGUGACACCUUUGUGUUGCAUUGUGAAUUUCUCGCCACUUUUUUUGGUAGUAAGCAUUUGUAGAGCCGAUAGAGAAACUCUUCUUAAAGUAUUCUCCUGGGUUCAACUGAUGCUUGGUUGUAGCGUCCCUGUCCCUUUUUGGUAUCUAGUAAUUCUCUCCGCUUCUCGUGGUCUGCAGAGGAUGCUGCUAAUGGUGAGAAGAAGCUGCAAUUGGACCUCGAGGGACUAAAUUCUAAAGGUAAUAUGAUCAUCGGACUUUUUUUCCCGAGCACUGGCGGGAGUUCGUCUGUGUUCUCUGUGUUGACUAGAGCCUCUGUUUAUUUAUUUCCUUGCGUAGCUAUCAAAGUGGAAUUGGACUUGAAGGGUAAUGAGAACUCAAGUGCAAAGAAGAAACCAGCAGGAAGAGGAAGAGGAAGAGGUGGAUCAGCAGCCACCGCAGCUAAGCGAGGGGGGUCGGGUUCCACUCCUGCCGCGAAGAGAAAGCGAUGAAGAUGUUUUUUUUUACGUUGAAGAAGGGCCAUUUCCUAUGUAUAUUUUCGCCUCUUUCCUUGAGUCUGCAACGAAUUGUCUGUGAGAGUACGCCGCAUGUUGCCUCUUGACAAUGUCUUUUGUCGACGAAUUUUUGGCCAUGGCUUACUAUGCUGCACUACGUCGAUGCCAAGAGCAAAAUCUACCAUUGCGAGGCGUAAUCAUCGGCUUCUUUAGUGCUUUACCGUGAUUCUAAUGCAAAAUUAGGGGGCAUCAAGUAUUAUGCAAGAGGUCAAGAAAUUCGUAGGGACAGAAUCCAUGUUUUGAGUCCUUUGACAUGUCUCUUGUGGUCCAAACUUGAGAGUAAAGUCUGAAUCUUGUUGAUGCAGACAUUUUGAUGGGGAUCGCUUUUUCCUCAUGAAAAUCGAGGAAUUCCAGUAUGGCAUAAGGUUAUCCACGACAUUCAAACCGAGUCCCUACGCAUACAAAGAGGAAUAAUUAACGGAAAAUGUCGCCUACCAUUGCGAAAGGUCAACCCCAUCCGUCUUUCAUGGCUAUGGCUAUUACUCCUUUUUUUUUUUUAAUAAAGAGGAAGAAAGAGAUGGGAUUUUCUCCCCCAUGCCGGCAGCACAAGCUGAGCCGGACAAUCUUAGUUAUAGGUCAAAUCGGGCAUUACAAUAUUAAAAGUUUUUUUUCUUUUUUUGGACAAGUACCAUAUUAAAAGUUACACCCCAUUAAUCAAAUGACAAUGAAAAAUCAGUGAUUUACUUUUCUUUGCACAAGACAAUCGUUAAAGGGAAAUGAUAUAAAUUGUCUUUCAAUAUUGACUUCAUAUGCAAUUUCGUUCUUUAAUUUUUGAAAUGUAUUAUUAGAUUAAGAUUAUGAAAAUAUUUAAUAUUAUCUUUAAAUUUAAAUUAAUAAAAAAUAUUAUUAAAUAUUUUCAUAUAAUUCAAGAGCCAAAAGUUAAAGCAUUGAACCGAAAUUAUAAGAGCAUUUGUGUUAUUAUUUUCCAAUCAUUAGAUGUCCCCUUAAAACUGGUACUGGAAUGACCUCAAGAAGGAAAAUCCCAGUUUUAGCCUUGGACUCUUCCAUUUUCUCUCGCCGGCUCCUAUAGAGAGAGAGAGAGAGGAAUCUGAGUGAGGUUUGAGCUUAUCUCGAGCAUCGCUAUCUGCGCUCCGAUCGGCGGCGGCGGCGGCGGCGGCGACUGAGAAAAUGGCAGAAUCGAAGUCCUUCUUCAGGAAGCACUGGGAGGGGUGGAAGGACUUCUGGGGGGAGCGCUUCUCCUUCAUGGAGAACUACACCCGCUUCACCGACCGCGACGCUCCCCUCCCCUCCUGGUCCUCCUCCGACGUCGACGAGUUCAUCGCCUCCGAUCCCGUCCACGGCCCCACCGUAAUCACCAUCCCUACUCGCUCGUUCAUACCUGAUGGAUUCCCCCCCCCCCCCCCCACCCCCCACCUCUCUCUCUCUCUCUCUCUCGCUCUCUCUCUCUCUCCGUCGCUCGCAUCCGAUUGGAUGAUUUCGAUCCGUUUGUUUCGUCGCGGGAUUUGAUCGAUUGAGCCGAUGUCGUUCGAUGCUGUCUUAGAGUGAUUUGAGUGCCGUGACUGUUUUAGCUUCGUCGAGUUUGGUUGGAGACUUUGGUAGUGCUGAUCGGUCUUUCAGUAUUGUGGCGUGCGGUUCGACUGGAGUGACUUCUCGUCGAUAUAUGUUUUGGUGUUUGUGCCGGUCGUUGUCUUUCGGAUCGUUCCUGCGUUGUUUUGAUUUUAGAUGGUGUGACGGACCGAUACGAUGAUGCGAGUGAAAAGAUGUGGCUCGAGGUUUUAGUGUAUGGGAAUACAUGGUCAAAAAAUCCGUUCCUUUAUUACACUGAUCGAGGAAUGGCUUCCGAUUAGAAAGCCGUGAAAUUUGGGAAUUUGGUCAUUCCAUCAAAACCUGUUGAUAUUGUUAAUAUACUUAUCUUAUAGUAAAGAGAAAAGAUUACUAUUUCACAAGAGCCAUUAUGGGUGAUCUUACAGGAAAGUGCUUGCCUAUAUGCCAAAGGACAAAACUGUGAGUCUCGGUAU
rnacentral:lncRNA from 1 species